rnacentral:lncRNA from 1 species
GAUGCUCCCAUGGGUGAUCUGGGCAACAAGAUCCCAAAACUGCCUCAGCAUACGGCUUUCCAGAGGCUCUUUACCCAGGCUGCUGCUGCCUCUGACAUUUCUUGCAUGCCCAGACGGAGCCUUCGGAAGCCUCGCCCACCCCUGUCACUCUGGGCCAGCCAGCGGUUCUCGACCUACGGGUCCUGACCAUCGGAAAACAAACAGGUGAGACUUGAUCUGCCACAUUCUCCAACCAUGACAUGUACCCUGUCACAAGCCAAAAGCAAUAGGCCCAUCAAUCAGGAUAAUCAACAAUGGACCGAAUCCUCCAAAACUAUGGGCCAAAAUAAACAUCUUUACAGGUUGA